GCCUUUGUAGCUUAAUGGUAUAGCAUCACUUUCGUAAAGUGAGGGUUGAGGGUUCAAAUCCCUUCAAAGGCU
rnacentral:tRNA from 3 species